rnacentral:rRNA from 1 species
AGUGAACGCUGGCGGUAGGCCUAACACAUGCAAGUCGAACGGCAGCACAGUAAGAGCUUGCUCUUACGGGUGGCGAGUGGCGGACGGGUGAGGAAUACAUCGGAAUCUACUUUUUCGUGGGGGAUAACGUAGGGAAACUUACGCUAAUACCGCAUACGACCUACGGGUGAAAGCAGGGGAUCUUCGGACCUUGCGCGAUUGAAUGAGCCGAUGUCGGUUUAGCUAGUUGGCGGGGUAAAGGCCCACCAAGGCGACGAUCCGUAGCUGGUCUGAGAGGAUGGUCAGCCACACUGGAACUGAGACACGGUCCAGACUCCUACGGGAGGCAGCAGUGGGGAAUAUUGGACAAUGGGCGCAAGCCUGAUCCAGCCAUACCGCGUGGGUGAAGAAGGCCUUCGGGUUGUAAAGCCCUUUUGUUGGGAAAGAAAAGCAGCAGGUUAAUACCCCGCUGUUCUGACGGUACCCAAAGAAUAAGCACCGGCUAACUUCGUG